GCAGCACUGAAUAGACCUUUUCCAUCAUAAACAAUCACUCUGUCGUUGUUGUCAAUACCAAAAGCAGAAACAGCAGCAGCAAAAGCUUCUUCUGAAGGCAACAUGUGAGGCAAAUUAGAUGUUCGGUCUGAUAUUCCAUCAAUGUCAAAGAAUAAGGCACCAGGAAUGUGAGCUGCCUGAUACUCUUGAAGUGGGUUUCUUUGCUCAAACGGCAUAUACCAGGAAGCAUCCAAGACCUUAACGUCAGCCUGUCCAAG
rnacentral:misc_RNA from 1 species